GACGAACGCUGGCGGCGUGCCUAAUACAUGCAAGUCGAACGCAGUGGGGACGGGUGAGUAACACGUGGGUAACCUCCCAUCAGAGGGGAUAAAACUUGGAAACAGGUGCUAAACCGCUACUGAUGGCUGGACCCGCGGUGCAUUAGCUAGUUGGUGAGGUAACGGCUCACCAAGGCCACGAUGCAUAGCCGACCUGAGAGUGGGCUGGGCAGCACUGGGACGUAUGCACGGCCCAGACUCCUACGGGAGGCCGCAGUAGGGAAUCUUCGGCAAUGGACGAAAGUCUGACCGAGCAACGCCGCGUGCGUGAAGCAGGUUUUCGUAUCUUAAAACUCUGUUGUUAGAGAAGCGGUAUCUAACCAGAAAGCCACGGCUAACUACGUGCCAGCCGCCGCGGUAAUUC
rnacentral:rRNA from 1 species